CAGCCGUAGGUGACCUUUACAUUUUGUUUCUUGGUCUAUCAUAACUAAGCAAAGCUUUGAUCCAGAGUGAAUUUUAAGAGAAAAAUGUGACUAAGGUGGAAUAAAUUUCAGGGGCGCUGGUGGACCUCUUCAAUGACUACAAGUACAUGUACUACACAUGUGGGGCUGUAAUGCUGGCUGCUGGGCUGUUCCUCUUCAUUAUGAACUUCUACAACUACAGGCUGCUGGAGCAGGAGAAGAAGCAGCAGGAGAUGGACGUGGAACUGUCAUCAGCCGAGAAGGCAAGCAUGAGAGAAGAAGAGGCUAAAGAAAAAGAGGACCCCGCCCAGCAGGAGGAGUAACUGCAGGCCAGCCACGCCUGACCAGAGAGGCUUCACCCCAGAGGCCCAGCGUGACAACACAGAUUACCCAGCGAGAGUUCACCUCUGUCUCCCACAAACGGCUCUGUGUGACCUCUGCAGGAACAAAUGUAAUUACUGUACCACUCUACAAUAACCCAAUUUAACUGAGCUUGCUCUCUCUGUCUCAUUCUCCAUCUCUCUCUCUCCCCCUCAAAUUUUUUCCUCUGUAUGUUGCACAGUAUUUAUUUUUACUUGAAUUUAUGGAUCAGUUUGACUCUACAUCAGGAUGAGAAGAAACAGACUACAUAUGGAAGAAUAUAAAUUUUUUUUUUCUUUUGUUUGGCUCUGAUAUGAGCUUUGUUUAAUGGAGAACAUGUCGUCUUCAUGGUAUUUUACAAACAACAGUACAGCGAAUCAUAGUUAAUUCUCAGUAGCAAUCUAUAGCUGGCAUGAAUCAGAUUUUUAUACAGUAUGUUUUUACUUUUUAAAUCAGUAAACUAAUACAAUUUAUAUUAAGGUAGAAGUCUGUAAAUGUAUACUGUGAAGGAUGAGAGACAUACCGCAUUACCUCAUUACCAUUUGCUGCUAAUGAAAAUAAUAUUCAGAUUUAUUCGAGUGUUGUCUUUUCGUGUCUAAUCAUUCGCUUCGAUUUAAAACUGCAGCAGAACAGUUUGCUGUGUAAUAAACAACAAAUAACAUUUCCUCA